rnacentral:rRNA from 1 species
ACACUGAGGUGCGAAAGCGUGGGUAGCAAACAGGAUUAGAUACCCUGGUAGUCCACGCCGUAAACGAUGUCGACCAGCCGUUGGGUGCCUAGCGCACUUUGUGGCGAAGUUAACGCGAUAAGUCGACCGCCUGGGGAGUACGGCCGCAAGGUUAAAACUCAAAUGAAUUGACGGGGGCCCGCACAGGCGGUGGAGCAUGUGGUUUAAUUCGAUGCAACGCGAAGAACCUUACCUACUCUUGACAUCCUGCGAACUUGUGAGAGAUCACUUGGUGCCUUCGGGAGCGCAGAGACAGGUGCUGCAUGGCUGUCGUCAGCUCGUGUUGUGAAAUGUUGGGUUAAGUCCCGUAACGAGCGCAACCCUUGUCCUUAUUUGCCAGCGGGUAAUGCCGGGAACUCUAAGGAGACUGCCGGUGACAAACCGGAGGAAGGUGGGGACGACGUCAAGUCAUCAUGGCCCUUACGAGUAGGGCUACACACGUGCUACAAUGGCCGGUACAAAGGGUUGCGAGCUCGCGAGAGUCAGCUAAUCCCGAAAAGCCGGUCUCAGUCCGGAUCGGAGUCUGCAACUCGACUCCGUGAAGUCGGAAUCGCUAGUAAUCGUGAAUCAGAAUGUCACGGUGAAUACGUUCCCGGGCCUUGUACACACCGCCCGU